rfam:Oryza meridionalis cultivar OR44 (W2112) chromosome 9, whole genome shotgun sequence.
AAUAAACGCAGUUGUGGAUUUAAGUGUCCAACUUUGAACAUCCGUCUUAUUUAAAAUAUUUUUAUGAUUAGUAUUUUAUUGUUAUUAGAUGAUAAAAUAUAAAUAGUAUUUUAUGCGUGACUUAACCUUUAAUAUUUUUUCAUAAAUUUUUUAAAUUAGACGGAUGGUCAAACAUUAGGUACGAAAAAUUACAGCUGUAGUUAUA